UUAAGCGACUAAGCGUACACGGUGGAUGCCCUGGCAGUCAGAGGCGAUGAAGGACGUGCUAAUCUGCGAAAAGCGUCGGUAAGGUGAUAUGAACCGUUAUAACCGGCGAUGUCCGAAUGGGGAAACCCAGUGCAAUUCGUUGCACUAUCGUUAACUGAAUACAUAGGUUAACGAGGCGAACCGGGGGAACUGAAACAUCUAAGUACCCCGAGGAAAAGAAAUCAACCGAGAUUCCCCCAGUAGCGGCGAGCGAACGGGGAGCAGCCCAGAGUCUGAAUCAGCUUGUGUGUUAGUGGAACGGUCUGGAAAGUCCGACGGUACAGGGUGAUAGUCCCGUACACCAAAAUGCACAGGUUGUGAACUCGAAGAGUAGGGCGGGACACGUGGUAUCCUGUCUGAAUAUGGGGGGACCAUCCUCCAAGGCUAAAUACUCCUGACUGACCGAUAGUGAACCAGUACCGUGAGGGAAAGGCGAAAAGAACCCCGGCGAGGGGAGUGAAAAAGAACCUGAAACCGUGUACGUACAAGCAGUGGGAGCACCUUCGGGUGUGACUGCGUACCUUUUGUAUAAUGGGUCAGCGACUUAUAUUCUGUAGCAAGGUUAACCGUAUAGGGGAGCCGCAGGGAAACCGAGUCUUAACUGGGCGUUAAGUUGCAGGGUAUAGACCCGAAACCCGGUGAUCUAGCCAUGGGCAGGUUGAAGGUUGGGUAACACUAACUGGAGGACCGAACCGACUAAUGUUGAAAAAUUAGCGGAUGACUUGUGGCUGGGGGUGAAAGGCCAAUCAAACCGGGAGAUAGCUGGUUCUCCCCGAAAGCUAUUUAGGUAGCGCCUCGUGAACUCAUCUUCGGGGGUAGAGCACUGUUUCGGCUAGGGGGUCAUCCCGACUUACCAACCCGAUGCAAACUACGAAUACCGAAGAAUGUUAUCACGGGAGACACACGGCGGGUGCUAACGUCCGUCGUGAAGAGGGAAACAACCCAGACCGCCAGCUAAGGUCCCAAAGUCAUGGUUAAGUGGGAAACGAUGUGGGAAGGCACAGACAGCCAGGAUGUUGGCUUAGAAGCAGCCAUCAUUUAAAGAAAGCGUAAUAGCUCACUGGUCGAGUCGGCCUGCGCGGAAGAUGUAACGGGGCUAAACCAUGCACCGAAGCUGCGGCAGCGACACUAUGUGUUGUUGGGUAGGGGAGCGUUCUGUAAGCCUGCGAAGGUGUGCUGUGAGGCAUGCUGGAGGUAUCAGAAGUGCGAAUGCUGACAUAAGUAACGAUAAAGCGGGUGAAAAGCCCGCUCGCCGGAAGACCAAGGGUUCCUGUCCAACGUUAAUCGGGGCAGGGUGAGUCGACCCCUAAGGCGAGGCCGAAAGGCGUAGUCGAUGGGAAACAGGUUAAUAUUCCUGUACUUGGUGUUACUGCGAAGGGGGGACGGAGAAGGCUAUGUUAGCCGGGCGACGGUUGUCCCGGUUUAAGCAUGUAGGCUGGUUGUCCAGGCAAAUCCGGAUAAUCAAGGCUGAGGUGUGAUGACGAGGCACUACGGUGCUGAAGUAACAAAUGCCCUGCUUCCAGGAAAAGCCUCUAAGCAUCAGGUAACAUUAAAUCGUACCCCAAACCGACACAGGUGGUCAGGUAGAGAAUACCAAGGCGCUUGAGAGAACUCGGGUGAAGGAACUAGGCAAAAUGGUGCCGUAACUUCGGGAGAAGGCACGCUGGUGUGUAGGUGAAGCCCCUGCGGGUGGAGCUGAGACCAGUCGAAGAUACCAGCUGGCUGCAACUGUUUAUUAAAAACACAGCACUGUGCAAACACGAAAGUGGACGUAUACGGUGUGACGCCUGCCCGGUGCCGGAAGGUUAAUUGAUGGGGUUAUCCGUAAGGAGAAGCUCUUGAUCGAAGCCCCGGUAAACGGCGGCCGUAACUAUAACGGUCCUAAGGUAGCGAAAUUCCUUGUCGGGUAAGUUCCGACCUGCACGAAUGGCGUAAUGAUGGCCAGGCUGUCUCCACCCGAGACUCAGUGAAAUUGAACUCGCUGUGAAGAUGCAGUGUACCCGCGGCAAGACGGAAAGACCCCGUGAACCUUUACUAUAGCUUGACACUGAACAUUGAGCCUUGAUGUGUAGGAUAGGUGGGAGGCUUUGAAGCGUGGACGCCAGUCUGCGUGGAGCCAACCUUGAAAUACCACCCUUUAAUGUUUGAUGUUCUAACGUUGGCCCCUUACCGGGGUUGCGGACAGUGUCUGGUGGGUAGUUUGACUGGGGCGGUCUCCUCCCAAAGCGUAACGGAGGAGCACGAAGGUUAGCUAAUCCUGGUCGGACAUCAGGAGGUUAGUGCAAUGGCAUAAGCUAGCUUGACUGCGAGCGUGACGGCGCGAGCAGGUGCGAAAGCAGGUCAUAGUGAUCCGGUGGUUCUGAAUGGAAGGGCCAUCGCUCAACGGAUAAAAGGUACUCCGGGGAUAACAGGCUGAUACCGCCCAAGAGUUCAUAUCGACGGCGGUGUUUGGCACCUCGAUGUCGGCUCAUCACAUCCUGGGGCUGAAGUAGGUCCCAAGGGUAUGGCUGUUCGCCAUUUAAAGUGGUACGCGAGCUGGGUUUAGAACGUCGUGAGACAGUUCGGUCCCUAUCUGCCGUGGGCGCUGGAGAAUUGAGGGGGGCUGCUCCUAGUACGAGAGGACCGGAGUGGACGCAUCACUGGUGUUCGGGUUGUCAUGCCAAUGGCACUGCCCGGUAGCUAAAUGCGGAAGAGAUAAGUGCUGAAAGCAUCUAAGCACGAAACUUGCCCCGAGAUGAGUUCUCCCUGAGACUUUAAGUCUCCUGAAGGAACGUUGAAGACGACGACGUUGAUAGGCCGGGUGUGUAAGCGCAGCGAUGCGUUGAGCUAACCGGUACUAAUGAACCGUGAGGCUUAACCUU
rnacentral:rRNA from 2 species